GGCACUGUGGCCGAGUGGUUAAGGCGACGCCCUGCUAUUAUGUAACAGUUUAGGCGUUGGGUUUUACCUGCGCAAGUUCGAAUCUUGUCUGUGUCG
rnacentral:tRNA from 1 species